CCACCAUCACUUAAUUAUCCUUACAUCUCAUGCAUGCACGAAAACAAAACAUCAUGGUUGGUAGUUUUGCAUUAUCUGCAAAACCAUCAUGAUCCCAUCACAUCACCUUAUUUUGAUUACUCCAAAUGGAUACGAAUGGCAUAUCCACAUGCUGAUCAUCCAAUAUUAAUUGCAUCCUUGUGGUAUUUUUCCAAGUGGUUCUGCAUGCCAGCUAAAUAUGCAACUCUUGCAACUGAUUAAAUAGCAUUUGGAUAGACCUCUAAUGCUGCACGGCAUUUCACAUAACCUCAUCUGCAUGAACCUUUACACGUAUCACAACUCUGUACGCUUUAAGGAUAUUUUUCAGGAUAAUUACUAUGAUAAAAAGAACAAUAGUAAUGUCAAGAAAAAUCUCUAAUCAUCAGACGAUUAGUAGUUAUGCCCAUUCAAUGGCCUUAAUUGCACAGAUCGAUGGUGCAAUUUUGGGUCCAAACAUAAAUAAAAGGAGGCAAUUUUAUAAUUACAAACACAAUAAAAAACUUAGCCACAUUACCACACCCAACAAAACAAAGGAAACUUUAAACGAACAUGUGUUUUUUUUACCCCUCCCCUGUGAAAGUGAAAAGGUAAUUUUAUGGUAAUUGUUUGCACUUGAGGUAUCUUCUUUUAUUAUAUCACAACUUAUAUUAAAAACAAAGAAUUAUUACUUCUUUUCAUUUUUUUAAUAAUUUGUUGGACCAGUGAUAGAGUCAGGAUCUUGCUUCACAGGGAGCCCUUCACAAAUCUGAAACUUUAUUUUUUAACGCCUAAGAUAUUGUGUAGGUUAAUUGUAUUUUUAUUUAUUUAUCUCAAACCGCAUCGACCACAUAGUCACGUAACCCGACUAAUAUUUAAGAGCAAAGCUUAAGAAAGGAGACAAACGAUGGACUAGAAGUUCAAGCCAACAAUCCUUAGCUUAAAAGCAGUCAGUGAUAAAUCCUGACUAUUAGAUUCAGUUACUGUGAUCGAAAAAUUCAACCUAGAUUAAUCCGCUCCUCCCAAAGGUGAACUUGAAGUAAUUAACAAGUACAAUAAGCUACAUCAUUAUACCUAGAACAAGAGAAUCUCAUAUCCAAGAACUCCAAGAUUGCAACUAAACUUACCAGAAGUAAAAGGAGAUCAUGCUUUAUCUUAUACAUAGAAAAUAAAAUAAAAAAUUGCAGGAUAGGCCUAGGACUUCCCUAGUCCCUUAGGGUGCGUUUGUUGCACCGGAUUAUCUCAGACUGGACUAGCUUCAGGGACUAAGUUGGACUGUCUUAGAUUAGACUCAUCUGGACUAACUUAAUGAAACGUUUGGUGUAGUGUCGGACUAAGAAGUUGGACUAACAAUAAAUUAUUAUUAUUAUAUUUUAAUUUCUUUUCUAUUAAAUAUCAAUAUGUAAAAAAUGGCAUCUUCUGAGCAAAUUGUUGGUGCUCCUCUGCACCUUGGAAAUUGCAGAACUUCCCAUAACAAAUGCUUAACCCAAACUUCAGAUAAAUAAAAAAUCGUUCAAUUUGGUAUCCUAGAAAAAUCAGAACUAAUUGAAAUCAUUCAAAAUUUGAUCAACCAAUCCAUUCGUAGAAUCCAGAAAUCGUUCAAUUUGAUCAGAACAAAAUGGUAUCCCAAAAACUCAUAAAUCCAACCUCCCUUCACAAACCAAAAGCAACGAAUUCACAUAAUCCAUCAAAUGUUUCGAAACUUUAAAGAACAGAACAAAUAAAGUAAAAAUAAAAAAAAGGAAGAAAACAAAGCACCUAACCCAGAACCCAAUCAACUUCUGCAAACCCUUCAUAGUUACAAUCCUUCGUAAGGAAAAUUAAAUCAUUCAAGCUCACUUGUAUAUGCAGGACCAGAAUUUCAAUCUGAAAACCUUAAAUCGACGGAGUUCUCUCGAAUUGGAAAUGGAGCUUGUGGGUUCUCUGAUAAAAGGUCGAAUUUGAGAUCUCAUUUGUGAUUCUGGGGUCAGGGUGAGGAGAGAGAGAGAUUGGUGGUGGUUUGGACAUGCGAUGUGAUAUUGCCAUAGUUUGGUGAGUGUAGGACGCGACGUAAAGAAGAAAGCAAAGAAGGACGCGAUGCGAAAAAGAAGAACACAGCGAGGGUCUUAGCAGUCCCAUUGUAUUUUGGGGGGGGGGUCUCGCUAGGACCCUUUAAUGAGAGAAUUAGUGAACACGAGUCCCCUUUAAUCCCAUUAAAAUUAUUCCCACUAUGUAACAAACACAGGACUACACUAAUGAGUAGUCCAGUCUAGUCCAGUGAAGCCACUGGUUAGAGUAACUCCACUAGUUGGUGGAGGGCAAUGGCAAUUGGAAAGGAAGAGUAAUGAAAUUGUCUUCAUUAUUCACUCUAAACAGUAAUUGCCUUUAUGCAAGUCUAAGUCCACACUUUUGGAAUGAGGAAAGGCAAGGGCAAUGUCGAUUACUAUUCAUAAAUAUAUUUUUUUUAAUGUUUGUUUUGUCUUAUCUCCACAUAUCAUUACCGCCGUAAAUUUGAAUAAUUUUAGAGUUGGAUUAGUCAUAGCUAUCAAAUUGGACAAUUUUUUUAAAUCAAAGGCUCACAAAUAGCCACAUGGGUGGGGAAGUGAAAGAACUGGGCUUCAACUCAAGCGCAAGCCCUUGCAAUUGUUGAUGGGAGUAGCUGUAAAACUGCCUUCAACCCCAUAGCUUCCCAUUUUGUGGACUGCUGGAGCUGUUUUCUUCAACCUAAAGACUAUUUAACCUAAUUGGUAGAGCAAUUGCCCUACUGCUGGAGAUGCUUUUAUGAACAAUGAAAGCUUCAAACACGUGAUUUUCCUUUUCUUGAAGAACAAAAAUAAAGAGAUAAGCGAAAGUAAAUUUAUCUACCUGAAUUUCUUGAAUUGUGUAGGGUACCAAGCAAGAACCCUAGUAUCAUGCUGACAGAAAACUCUUCAAUAAUGAUCCUGUUAAAACAUCCCCAACGAGCGGCUCUAUAUGAGGGCUAGAAGAAAAGUGGUGGAUAUAGCCUAAUUUAGAGUUUUGAGGAAUCUUUGGGGCUCUAAAAAAGAAUCUCUCCCAAUAAAGGGCUAUAUAUCUUCCGAGCUCUAUACGAGGCUAUUUAUUUUAUUUAUGUAGUAAUUUGAUGAUGCAGUAAAUUUAUUUUUGUCUUAACUUUUCUUAACUUGAUUUUUUGAUGUGUUAUCUUAAAUUUUAUUUAUGAACUUUUUGACCUAACAAAAUUCAAAUUCUGACAAAGUUAGAUUUUAUCACUUAUGCAUUGUUGUAGGCUCUCUUAUCUCAAUCUCAUCCGUUAGUUUGUUUGUAUGAAAUCAGACUAGAUAAGAUUUUAUUUUAGAAUAACCGUAAGAUUUGAUUAUCUUAUCUCAAUCUCAUUUGGUGGUUUAUUUAUCUAUUGACACAUUCUCCUAAAUCAAACAAGAUUGUCAUUUCAUAACAAACAUUGGAUUGGAUUAUCUUAUCACAAUUUAGUUAUGAUAUUUGUGUAUAUUUUCAGUUUAGGUCUAUAAACUACCAAUGUUAAAUUUCAUCACUUUUUAUGAAUUUUUCAAUCUAGAAAAUUAAACACAAAGCACUACAUUUUUUUCUAAUCAAUCACACAAAAAAUAGUCAUUGUUUGUAUAUGUCUUCUUAAUCAAACAAACGGUUGAAUAAUAAAUCCUUAAAAUCAUGUUUUGGAAUUAAAAAUGGAGUUCACCCAUUUCUAAUCCAAAAAACAGAAAGAAAACAAAAAACAAAAAAAAGGAACAAGAUUAAGCCCUCAAUUUGGUGUGGGCCGCUUACUUUUUGGAGCUAGAUGUAGACUAACUUUGUGCUACCCAAUGAUUGAAGUUGCUAGCCCAUGUGGUGGAUGUAGUCCAAUUUUUUGAUCCAUUAUGGAUAAAGUCCCCAUUGAAAUGCUCUUAAGGUACGUUUGUUGCGCCGGACUGUCUCGGACUGGACUAGCUGCAGGGACUAAGUUGGACUGGCUUAGACUAGACUAAGCUGGACUAACUUAGUGAAGCGUUUGGUGCAGUGUCGGACUAAGAAGCAGGAUAAUAAAAAAGUAUUGGUCACCAGAUUUGUGUUUGCUUAGACUAAGACUACAAAUUUUUGCCAUUGUGUAAUAGAGUAAUGCUACAAAUCUCAUGAUAUGGGUUUAUUGGAGCAUAUUUUUGCCAUGUAUAUUAUGAAUCUUAAAAAAAGAGGACAACUAUUUUGUUUCUAUUACCUGCUAAUAGAAUUGGGACAUACUAUAGUUGGGACAUACUAUUUAUAAAUAGUUGAGAUGAAUUUGCAAAUGUAGCUUGGUUUAAACUCUAUCACCCAAAAGAAG
rnacentral:lncRNA from 1 species